AAUGAACGCUAGCGGCAGGCUUAAUACAUGCAAGUCGAGGGACAGCACAGGUAGCAAUACUGGGUGGUAACCGGCAAACGGGUGCGGAACACGUACACAACCUUCCUUUAAGUGGGGGAUAGCCCAGAGAAAUUUGGAUUAAUAACCCGUAAUAUAGUUGAAUGGCAUCAUUUGAUUAUUAUAGCUACGGCGCUUAAUGAUGGGUGUGCGGCGGAUUAGAUAGUUGGCGGGGUAACGGCUCACCAAGUCUACGAUCAGUAGCUGAUGUGAGAGCAUGAUCAGCCACACCAGCACUGAGACACGGGCCCGACUCCUACGGGAGGCUGCAGUAAGGAAUAUUGGUCAAUGGACGCAAGUCUGAACCAGCCAUGCCGCGUGAAGGAUUAAGGUCCUCAGGAUUGUAAACUUCUUUUAUUUGGGACGAAAAAGUGCCUUUCUAGGUCAACUGACGGUACCAGAUGAAUAAGCACCGGCUAACUCCGUGCCAGCCGCCGCAGUAAUAC
rnacentral:rRNA from 1 species